GGGGUUGACGGUACCCUACUAGAAAGGAGCCGCUAACUUCGUGCCAGAAGCGUCGGUAAUACGGGGGCUCCAAGCGUUAUCCGGUGUUAUUGGGCGUAAAGAGUCGUGUAGGUGGUUGGGUAAGUUAUCUUUCAAAUAUCUUUGCUUAACAAAGAGGAGGGGGAUAAUACUGCUCGACUAGAAUUUUCUCAAGGGAGAUCGGAACUGAGGGAGGAGUAGUGAAAUGCGUUGAUACCCUCGGGAACACCAGUGGCGUAGGCGGAUCUCUGGGAGAAGAUUGACACUGAGACACGAAAGCUAGGGGAGCGAAGCAGAUUAGAGACCUGCGUAGUCCUAGCCGUAAACGCAUGCUUGCUAGCUGCAUGAAUCUACCUUCGGGUGGUAUCGUGUGGCGAAGGUAACCCGUUAAGCAAGCCGCCUGGAAAGUACGGCCGCAAGGCUGAAAUUCAAAGGAAUUGGCGGGGAGGCACACAACCAGUGAAACAUGUGGUUUAAUUCGAGACUAACCGAAGAACCUCACCAGGGUUUGACAUGUAGCUGCACGUCUUAAGAAAUUAAGACUCUCUUGAAGGUGCUACACAGGUGCUGCAUGGCUGUCGUCAGCUCGUUCCGUGAGGAGUGCCCUUAAGUGGGACAACGAGCGCAACCCCUAUUACAUGUUAGAAAUGUCAUGUAAGACUGCCUUGCCAUUUGGCGGGGAGGAAGGAGGGGCAGACGUCAAGUCCGCAUGGUCCUUAUGCCCUGGGCUACACACAUGUUACAAUGAGUACGGCAAUGAGUCUGUCGCGAGCACGUAAGUGUAAGCUAAUCUCUUAAAUGUACUCUCAGUGGGGAUUGAGGUCUGCAACUCGACCUCAUGAACACGGAAUUGGUAGUAAUCGCGGGUCAGCUAUACCGCGGUGAUACGUUCUUGCCUCUUGCACACACCGCCCGUCAAACCA
rnacentral:rRNA from 1 species